CCUACGGGGGGCAGCAGUGAGGAAUAUUGGUCAAUGGGCGGAAGCCUGAACCAGCCAAGUAGCGUGCAGGAUGACGGCCCUACGGGUUGUAAACUGCUUUUAUACGGGAAUAACGCGCCUUACGUGUAGGGCUUUGCAUGUAUCGUAUGAAUAAGGACCGGCUAAUUCCGUGCCAGCAGCCGCGGUAAUACGGAAGGUCCGGGCGUUAUCCGGAUUUAUUGGGUUUAAAGGGAGCGUAGGCCGCAUGUCAAGCGUGCUGUGAAAUGUCCGGGCUCAACCCGGGCCUUGCAGCGCGAACUGGCGUGCUUGAGUCCGCGGAAAGCAGGCGGAAUUCGUCGUGUAGCGGUGGAAUGCUUAGAUAUGACGAAGAACCCCGAUUGCGAAGGCAGCUUGCUGCAGCGGAACUGACGCUGAUGCUCGAAAGCGCGGGUAUCGAACAGGAUUAGAUACCCGGGUAGUC
rnacentral:rRNA from 1 species